GAGGGGGGUGUUUAGUGGUCACAUUCCUUAAUAGGUAGCUAUUAUUGUAUUCAUGAUAUUCACGAUCACGAACGGACUUAGAAGUGCGUUACAAAACGUGUAUGAAAAGUCACAUUUGUUAGGGAAAUCAAUUAACCAUGCCGUUUCUCACUUUCCUUCGUUUCUCGCAUAUCAAUGAGGAAAGAGCGGAACACCUAACUGAAUCGAAAGGUGUGAACGAGAUACUUAAGACGUAAUUGCACGUAAAUCGACAGUCUUGUACCACUGGCAAGGUGCGAACAGGAGAUUCUCAAUUUAGUCUGGACUCAUGCGCGAUCUACAUUUUUUUUCCUCGAAGUUGCCUGUGUCAAGUCGAGCGAGAUUUUAUCGCGUUGCGCCGUUACACCGGUACGUAUUCACGAGGAACAAGAAUGGAGACAAUUAAGCGUAACAAAAGUCGAGAAAUGAAGAGUGCUACGCGAACGACAACGUUAAAACGCAUAGUUUACGAAGGUGACGACAUCCGCUUUUGCAUCUUUGAUUCUUAUCGUUUCUUUUUUUCUCUGUCUCUCUCGUUCGCGUUACCAGCAUGAGAGAGCUCGUACAAAAUACGACAAAGAGCUGCCCCGAUGAAAUUAGCCGUGUCGAGGACUUGUUCGCACCAGGUGGAAAUUAAGGAUCGCAACAGAAUUUACGCGGUGUCGUGAGAUCUUAAUUAACCGGCGAGGACGUCUUUACGAGGACGCGGUCCCGAUCGAAUUCGACGGGCUGCAAGAGUAAUGCUUAUUGGACCAAGGUGGCAAAAUUGCCUCCUGCGGCUCGGUCGGACUCGCGAGCGUAGAGAUCGUUCCGCGCGACGCCUUUUACGAUCCGUUAAGUACCUCCGGAGUUGUUUAUCCGUCGCGCUCGCCGCGAGACCAAGCAGCAGGCUCCCCGCGAAAACAACAGGAGAGUGCCCCGGAGGGUUUGAUUUACUCGCGAGGUGGCUGGAAAAUGAGCCUCCAUUGUGCACGUUCUAGGAACGACGUUCACUUGUCCUCGCUCGCUGUUGUUUCUCGGAGACGCGUUCAAUAAUUCGCACGUCAGCACGUUGCCAUGCUGUGCAACUCUGGUCUGAAUUAAAGUUCUUAGCACAUAUAUCAAGCAGCGUGAUAAUCAGAAGGCUAGUCGUGAAGUUAGAGCUUUACGCAACUGAUCGCCGAUGAUGAGUGUCGAAGACGUAGCAGACCGGUCAUUUCAUCGGCUUCGAGGAGCAUCCAGCUCCCAUAAUUCCAGUACCUCGCAUGAACUUCCGGGAUAUCUCAGAAAAUACGUAAGAAGGAAAAUAUAAUUAUCGCAGGCACUGUAGGGGUACGUUAAAACGCUGCUUUUUUUUAUCCUUUGGUAUAUUCAAACACGGAUGCGGGCUCAAUAGUGAUCAAGGAAAUGCACUGGAACCGAAGUAUAAUUGCACUGAUUGCUGUUGAGCGCAGAUGCGAAAUGCCUUCGGCAUGAUAAUAAUUCUGCCGUAACCCUCCGUAAUAAUCUUACUCGCACGCCCGACGCGCUAUUUGCGAUUGGUAACUGCAAUUAAAUGUUAAAUUGGGAAUUCCCAGGGCGCAAUCGUCCUAAAUUACGGGGAGAACCAUCCGUCGACCGUUUUCGACUUUGAAUAUUUCAUAAAAUAACUUUAAAGCUCAAUGGAACAUUGGUAGUUGAACUGAUGCUACAAACAUCUAGAUGUGCCAUAGAUCUUGCGCACAAUAAAGAAAUAUCAGAUAUUAGGAAUAGAAACUUAAAUUUUAGAAUUAGUUUUUUAAAUUUUAUUAACGUAACGCAAAAUAAGUACACGUAAGACGUAAAACACAAAUGUGCCAUACAAUCUUGUAAGCACUACAAACUACAAUAUUCCUAAGCGCGCUAGAAUAUUUUAAUUAUUCGAAUAUUAUUAAAAUGUUUUGAGAAUAUUUUUUUAAUAUUAUAGAAUAUUAUAUUAAUGUACACUUUAUAUAAUAUUUGUGGUAUAUUCUUUCAAUAUCGUGGAAUAUUAUGGAAAUGUUCUGAAUAUUAUUUUUGUUCAAAAAUUAAUGUGAAUUAUUAUGCAUAAAAUAUUCAUAAACUUUAUAAUUAUUACAUUUAAAAGUUACAAAAUAUUUCCGAUAAUUUAAAAUAUUGCAGUAAAUAAUAUUAUUUACUUCUCAUAUAUAACAUUCAUAUAAUAUUGUCAGGAGUGGAUAUAUAAUCACUUUUUAUUAAUAUUAAAUAAUAUUUGAAAAAUGUUAUUUAAUAAUCCUCCAUUGUGCGCGCAGGUGCGUAGGCAAUGUUCAUGCAAUUCCGACAGUCACACGUUACACGGGCCACACCGAAUUCUUGCAUUAUCCCUGCCACGCUCACGCAUGUGGGGCGCACACUGCACCGUGGGCGCGUGCACGCACGAGCCUUCACGGUGCACGUGUCGCGGUUUUCCAACGCGGCAUUGCGCGCUCGGCAGCAAACAACGAAAUAAGAGCAUCAGAGAUAGGCCGCAGUUCUACGCCGCAGUUCUACGCCGCCGUCGCAGCUCGCUCUCACACGCACUCCAUAAAUUACUCGGGCUUCUCGGCCCACACGUUUCUACCGAGCUCUCCGUUCGCGCGAGGUAGAGUAACCAUAAUCUUAAUAAUCAUAACCACCGACGACGUCGUACGCACGUUCUCUGUCCUUCUCUCUCCCUCUGUCGUUUUUUCUCUCUCUUUAUCAUUUUCCGUCUCUCUCGCGCUCGCACGCGCUUUGCCGCCUUGUGUUAUUAACCCAAAUUGCCGUGCUCGUGAAUGGAAUCACGCCCUUAUCGAGUCACACAGAGCGCUGCCGCCGCCGUCGCCGCCGCCGUCGCGUCCACGUGCGUCUCGCCGAGCGCGAGGAGUACACAGUAUGCGCGGUCGAUGCUGUCUCUCCGACAUACUGCAUCGCGUUGAUGCGAGGGGUAAUUACGCGACGCGCUCAUUUCUGGUAAUAUGGCAGCCGCAGCGAUAAUAGGUUGAUUAAUGAUCGAUGGCAGCGGGUAGCGCGAUGCGGAUGAGAAAGCGAGGAGAAUCGCUCGGUAACUUGGUUACAAUGAGAAAUACAUAUUCCUGUAGCGGAUUAUUGAAAUGUAUUGCUUCAGGUUAAUUUAAUUUUCUCUCUCUAUUCUUUUUUAGGAAAAUUCUCUUUAGAAGUUUUUUUUAAGCAACAGUGCAUCGUUCGAUAAAAUUGCCGAUAUCGACGAUUACGCUUGCGGAUAAAGUAGACAAGCACUCGAAACGUACCUUGGCUUGUUAUUCGAGUCUAUGUAAAUGUCAGAUUACACGCGUGAUGGGCAAGAUACUCCGGACGAUCGCGUCGCGCUGGUAAGCUCGCGAUAACAAUGAUCGAGCAUGACUGGCGCAGAUCGCGUUGCUAUUUGACGUGUUUAAUAUCACGGACACUGGAUUACAAGAGGACAAGAGAACGCGUCUCCUGCACAUUUGUCACAAUUUGCCGUGUCAUUCGAGGAAUCGAUAAAUGUGCAGGUUGCGGUCCCAAAAAUACGUACGACUCAACUAAACGAUAAGUACGUGACACUACCACGUAAAUUCACCUUAUUACGGAAAUAUCAUUUCGCGGAUGGAAAAUACGCGAGUGCACGGUAGCGACGGUCGAGGAUUCUCAGAUUACAAUUCUCGCAUUUAUAGGUCAAGACCGCUGACGCGUCUGGAAAUUAGCGGCAUCGUCAUAACGUCAUUAGCACAACAUUUGUUUCGGACAAUUCUGGAAAUUCGAAUUCUUUGUCGAAUUGGCUGUUGAUUAUUCAGCGUCUGGCGGUGUAAUAAAUGUUCGCGUAAGCGUCUAGCCGUGUCGCGUUCGAGCAUCUCGAAAUGCAAAACCAUCGAUUGAGGAACGAUACGUUAACAUAAUAAAAAAAUUGAGAUCAGACAUAAUGUUAGCUGUUACUCCUAUCACGAACUACUGCUUCUUCUCUGAUGAAUUUUUACUGCAGUUGCGUUUAAUUUAUUCAGUACAGUUACGGUCAUCUUAAUCUCAAGCGUUUCUUAAUGUCAUGACGAAGCUUUUUAAUUUACUUAACUGUGACGGUUCUACUUUUAAUUUUCAGUUUCAGUUUUUAUUGAGGAUGAUCCAAACCAAGAACCGAAACAUUUGACUGAACUUGUUAUCAAUUAAUAAAUAAUUGUAUUGUUACAGAGAAGAACUUUUGUUGACUCUUAUCGGCUUUUUUAUCUUACUGAAUUUGUGUUUUUAGCCUUGAUUUUUGUUUUAGGUUUGAAUUUUUAUGGUUUUUAUCAUGUACUAAAAAUCUAUAAAAAGGAAAAAAUGUUGAGGCGGAAGUACUUAAACGUCGAAAAUAUCGACCAGUUGCAAGCCUACGGCCAUGUGCCACGAGCUGUCAUCACGUAAUUUUAGUGAAGAAGAAACCGUGAUCGCCGUGCCGCGCGUUCUCCGGCACGUGGAACGUCCAAAAAUGCCAAUGUCCUUUUUCGGGUCCGCGCUCCAUUACACGGAGCCGCGCUUUGGGAAUCGAUAAGAUCGACCAGGCGGUUAGGAGGAAAAAGUUCGAGCCUUUUAAAAAUGAGAGAUGGUAGAACGAAUCAUCUUACAAACAUUUCUGAGAAAGAUAGAAAUACAAAGUGCACAGCUCGGAGACACCGCGCAUAUCGCGGCGGUGAUGUCACGCUCUCGAAGAUGCGUCUGCUGAUUUGCGAGCUGACACUCGAAAUUCUGGCGUAAAGUCCGUGUUAAUGCUUGGCAGCAUCACCGGACGAUGGUGUAGCGCACGUGUGAAACGGAGAAUACGCGUUUGAUAUGUGUGCGCAAACGAGAUCGGGCAAGUCCCCUCACUAGAGUCGCCCGUGAGUGGCGGCGCGUGUCAACCUUGCUGUAUCCUUGAAAUCGCGCGACCGCGACCGUACGUCGAGCCAAGCCGGAGCGACAGGCUAGCAAAUAUGCGCUCACGGGAUUCUAGGAAUCAGCUGAUUGGGGAAUUCCUAGAGAGAGAUUCGAGCUCUCGUUUCCUACGAUACGGAUGGAAUCAGGUUUCGGACUGUCACUGAAAGCGCUGACGCGUCCAGCUGUCUCUUCCUCGGGGAACAAUCAUGUGGCUAUAAUUAAAAUUAGAAUUGGAAAUUUCGAUAAUAUAUUUUGCGUUGUAUGUAUUGCAAGAAGUAAGAAACGGCAUGCCUUUACUAAUAAGUCUCUGUUAUGUUCAUUAUUAAAUGUUAAUAAAACUGGUAUAUGCAAGUGACAUUUGUCUCUUGUACAAAUACAUUAAUUAGGUUUCAUUUAUGUUAGUCUUCAGAUUUUAAGAGUGUAUUUAUCUGAGAAAUAAAAACCAGUAGAUGCCAAGGCUCCAAAGAGUUCGAUGAUGCACUUCCAUUUUUUCCACGCUCGAUAAUUAACCUUUGCGUUGUACAUGAAUUAUCGUCAUAAUGUAUGUGUGCGCGUGUGCCACGUGAGGCUUUUGCCUUGCGUCGACUCGAUUCAUCGUAGAGUAUUAAACGUGCACAGCCGGCGCGUGACGUCCGUUAAAUGCAGUCGAGCGACCGGGAAUUUCCUAAUGCGGAGAUAACGCCCGACGCAGAUUCACGACCGACGAACAAGAAAUUUCUUGAGAAAGAACUAUCCAGUUUCGCGACUUUCGUUGUUCCCUUGCUCGUGAGAUUAAUGAGCGCAUUAUGAUAAUUUUUUCGCCGAAAAGAGGGACCAUCGCACGACGUCUUCAGACGAAUCUUCGCAGGAGAAUGCAGUUUUUGGCGCGACUCCAAAUAACGCGUAACACACGGAAUUAGUUAGAGCGGAUUUGAUGUAAUUAAAUUUUUCACCCUAUUUUCAGUCAUUGUCAUCUUAAUGACUAUUAGGUCUAGUCGCUCGGAGGCGUAAAAAAAAAUAGGAAGGCAAUUAUAGGACGGCGAAAUUUUUGCCCGAGACUCGCGUGCGCCCGGAUCAAAUUCUUCUUUCCAUUAGAGAAUACGCAGACAACUCGUACAGACAUCUCGCGAAACGUGUUUGUUGGAUCGUUUACAUAAUCACAGAUAACUGAAUGAGUAGCCAGAUAAAUACGAUUCUAAUGCGUACGUUAAAUUGUCGCGACUUGUAGAAUUUGUUUGAUAUUUCAAGAUCAAGAUAUUGAAGUGAUUGAUCAAGAUUAAGAUAUAAAGCACUAAUAUUUUUUCAAUUAUAUUAAUAGCAAACAAUUACGAGUUAUUGCUUUAAGUGUCAAUGCUUCAAUGGAUAUAAAAAUUUAUUUGAAAUGGUGAAGAGGUAUUUUCUUUUUUUGGGGGGGGGGGCGUAAUUCGUCUGCAAGGACGAAUUAGAUUGAGAGUGCCAAAGAAAGGAGGGUACUAUGCAAUUUGUCAUUCGGCAUGUUUUGCGUGCGGCAUCGUGACCCUAUACGUCGCUUCUGCCUCGCCAAUUGCUGUCCCGGGAGUACCAUUGCCCGCAGAGGACAUUUAUGAUAAUUUAGGCUUUCGUGGUUUUUUGCGAUGAUCAACAAUCCGGCUAAGCCUACGCAUAUUUUUCUGGACGUUCGAAAAACCUUUCGCCUCUAUUAGAUAUUUGCGCGGGUAUUAAUAUUUUUUUUGUACACUUUUUAUUACAGCUUGAACGUAAAAGUCAAAAUUUAAAAUUAAAAAAAAAAGAUAUUUUUUAAAUAUUUUUCUUACAGCGGCGUUUUCUUUACGUAGAACACGCAAUCUGAAUCAACGAUUGGGUCAUUUUAAUUUUUCGUUUUUACAGCAUGCUAUUAGAAAUAAAAAAGUCAAUUUUACGAGCGAGCGAAAUGCACGUGACUGUCGGGCACGAUGUUUAAACAUAUAUCGUAACUGUCCGCACGCCAAGAGAGUCUUAUCUACUUUAAGUCGUGCAGUAAAUGUCGACCGCUUGUUGGAAAAUUACUAACAUUCGGCCGCGAGAGAAAGCGAACGUGAUAAUUGACUAUCGCGAUCUUUUUGCUUAGGAUCCAGUUCGGAGAUUAGAUUCGGUGGUGACCGACAAACCGCCUUUCAAUUUCAUCGGGACGGCAGUUUUAAUGUAAUUGAACGUCUGAUAAAUACCGAUAAUUGUUUCUCGCGUGAAGAUCGAUUAAUGAUAAAAAAAAUAGCUGUUGUCAUGAUAGCUUGGAAAUCAUCGUAGAAGGGACAAUAAGAUAUUAUCUUUUAAUUUAAUUUUAUUUUAUUGAUGCACGUGUAGCAUUACAAAAAUAAAUUGCUAAUCUUUAUUACCGGAUGAGAAAAGAAUUCUGAUCUUUUAGGGUCCUGUAAAGGGUCCUAUAGUGUUCCGACGAAAUCCAGUAGAAGGCAGCAGGCUCUGGCGUUUGGUACUUUAAGCAGCGAAAGGGAGAAAAUUUGGGCCUGCUCGGAUGAGAUGGUCUUCUGAGACCGGUUCGUACUUACGUGUGAUGCCGUCAUCUUCGCCAGAUGGCGGCAUCUCGGCGGAGAAAUUUGCUGCAAUUCAGUCUCACUUGAGACGUGCAGCGAAUCGGAUAUACGCAUGGAGCAGACAUCAGGUGUGCAAGCAUCUCCAGAACGAAAGUAUUUCGUUUCGAAUCUCUCGUAGUAUGUAUUUUUCAUUGAAGACUUGUAAUUUAAAUUUUAUGUAUUGUAUAUAUUUUUUGAAGGCAUUUUGAAGAUAAUAUACUUUUUUUCAUAAUUAUAUCUGAUUAAAUCGGAAUUAAAGAGCAAAUAUGUAAAAAUAUAUAAAAUGUACUUAUAUACCUACAAUGAGGAAAUGGAUUGAGGGAACUGGUUGAUUCAUAAACAACAUAGAAAUUGUAUUGAGAAAGAGAUCAACAUUUAUUUGAUGCUCUUGCAAUAAUAAGCGUUGGUUGUCUAUUCUCAUAAUAGAGAGGAAUUAUAAAUGUAACCUCUUUUGCAUUCGUAUAAAUAUAAAUAACGUAUUCUCUUUCGCGAUUAUCGUUCAUAUGUACAAUUUCUCAUACACACUCUUACUCGCGCUCGUUUCCUUAACGUAAUCCUUAGCCUAAAAUCGUAUCGAUUAAAAACAUUUUUCGUACUUACAACGAUAUACUACAAAUCACUUAGCGUUUUACGUACAAGAAACAGAAUGGAAGACUUCGGUGAUUCUUGUUGCGUAAGGCACUUAAAAUAUUAUUUGUGUAACUUAUGUACAAAGAGGAUCGGUGACAAGGAAGAUGGGUAGGGCGAUACGAGAUAAGACAAAAAGGAGUAACGCGAUAUUUCGAGAUGUUGAAGAGAAAUCG